UGUGUGUUCCGCUUCUUCUUU
rnacentral:miRNA from 1 species